GACGAACGCUGGCGGCGUGCUUAACACAUGCAAGUCGAACGGAAAGGCCCUGCUUUUGUGGGGUGCUCGAGUGGCGAACGGGUGAGUAACACGUGAGUAACCUGCCCUUGACUUUGGGAUAACUUCAGGAAACUGGGGCUAAUACCGGAUAGGAGCUCCUGCUGCAUGGUGGGGGUUGGAAAGUUUCGGCGGUCGGGGAUGGACUCGCGGCUUAUCAGCUUGUUGGUGGGGUAGUGGCUUACCAAGGCUUUGACGGGUAGCCGGCCUGAGAGGGUGACCGGCCACAUUGGGACUGAGAUACGGCCCAGACUCCUACGGGAGGCAGCAGUGGGGAAUAUUGCACAAUGAGCGGAAGCCUGAUGCAGCAACGCCGCGUGCGGGAUGACGGCCUUCGGGUUGUAAACCGCUUUCGCCUGUGACGAAGCGUGAGUGACGGUAAUGGGUAAAGAAGCACCGGCUAACUACGUG
rnacentral:rRNA from 1 species